AUGCGGCGGGUCGAGAAGGAGGGCGCCCGACAGGUGUGCUUCGCCAAGCGCCGGCAGGGUCUGUUUAACAAAGCCAACGAGCUGGCGGUGAUGUGCGGCACCGAGGUAGCCGCCAUUGCCCAAUCACCCAGUGGCAAUGCUUUCUCCUUUGGUCAUUGUCGGUGUCAAAACCGGCGGAUCUCAGGUAGGGGGUCUCGAACUGUGCGUCUAGGCCGGAUGGUAACAGGAGGCAAGGGACACGAAGUUUUACCCAGGUUCGGGCCCUCUUAA
rnacentral:rRNA from 1 species